GGAUUACCUCAGUAACGGCGAGUGAAGCGGUAACAGCUCAAAUUUGAAAGCUAGCUCUUUUAGGGUUCGCAUUGUAAUUUGUAGAAGAUGCUUCGGGUGUGGCCCCGGUCUAAGUUCCUUGGAACAGGACGUCAUAGAGGGUGAGAAUCCCGUAUGUGACUGGGUGCUUUCGCUCAUGUGAAGCUCUUUCGACGAGUCGAGUUGUUUGGGAAUGCAGCUCAAAAUGGGUGGUAAAUUUCAUCUAAAGCUAAAUAUUGGCCAGAGACCGAUAGCGCACAAGUAGAGUGAUCGAAAGAUGAAAAGCACUUUGGAAAGAGAGUUAAACAGUACGUGAAAUUGUUGAAAGGGAAGCGCUUGCAACCAGACUUGCGCGCUGAUGAUCAUCCGGGCUUCUGCCCGGUGCACUCGUCUGCGCUCAGGCCAGCAUCGGUUUCGGUGGUGGGAUAAAGGCCUUGGGAAUGUGGCUCCUCUCGGGGAGUGUUAUAGCCCUCGGUGCAAUGCCGCCUACCGGGACCGAGGACCGCGCUUCGGCUAGGAUGCUGGCGUAAUGGUUGUAAGCGACCCGUCUUGAAACACGGACCAAGGAGUCUAACAUCUAUGCGAGUGUUUGGGUGUCAAACCCAUACGCGUAAUGAAAGUGAACGGAGGUGAGAACCCUUAAGGGUGCAUCAUCGACCGAUCCUGAUGUCUUCGGAUGGAUUUGAGUAAGAGCAUAGCUGUUGGGACCCGAAAGAUGGUGAACUAUGCGUGAAUAGGGUGAAGCCAGAGGAAACUCUGGUGGAGGCUCGCAGCGGUUCUGACGUGCAAAUCGAUCGUCAAAUUUGCGUAUAGGGGCGAAAGACUAAUCGAACCAUCUAGUAGCUG
rnacentral:rRNA from 1 species